rnacentral:pre_miRNA from 1 species
UUUCUAAUGUAAGUAUGUUCUGUAAAAUAUUUGGAACAUACUUAUAUUAAAA